GCCUCCCAAAGUGUUGGAAUUACAGGCGUGAGCCACUGAAUCCGGCCAAUGUUAUGCAUUUAAGUGUGGGGAGCAGAAGACUGGAUAUGCAAGAGCAUACAUCUGGAUACCUUUUACCUCUUGGCUUGUGGGGAAAAUGACCUGCAGGAUUUUACAUGGAGCUUCCUGUGUGCAUGCUGGUGACUGUUGGCAACAAGGUGUCAGGAAGAAAGACAUUGCUUUCCAAACUCCUUUUCCCAAAUGAUCCUUUCUUACCCAGUCUGCCUUACCUGCUUCUGUACUGUUCAACAGAGGAGGGGGAACAGGGAAAAGCAGGGGCAGUUGUGAAAAAUAGAAGGGAAACUUGAGUGUGCCUUUUUCUUCUCCUUCUCUUUCUCCACCCUCAGUCAUCAUUAACAGAAAAAUAUUUUUAAAAGAUCCCUUGAUGGCAUCCCCAAAUGUUAAGUCUGACAUUUUCUUAGCUGAUGGCCUCCUUUGUGAAGGUACUUUGUGUCCGCCCAGCAUGCCUGCUGGAUCCCUGGUUUGCCGCAGUUGCUGAGGUAAAUACUCUUUCCAUUAAGCACCACAGCCCAAGAGUGGCCUAAAGCUCAAAUAAAUGACCAAGAAGCAACUUAAACAUUCCCUGGGGCGAUUUUAACCUAUGCAAUGGCUUUUUGAAAAAAUUGCCUAUUUUUUCAUGUUUUGGCCGGGGGGGUGUCUCUUAUUCCCUUCUUUUUUAUUUUCCUUUCAGCUGAGUACACCUUCUCUUUCAUUUAUUCAUGCACUGCAUGAAGGAUGGAAGCAGGAUGAAUAAAUCACAGAGCAUUGCCCCUCUCCCCACUCAGGGUCUGUGAAGAGAGCUGGAGCAGAAUACAGUCCAGGCAUUAUGUCAACUUUCAGGGGACCUGGGGCAGGUGGCCGAUUCUCACAGAGACCCCACUUCCCUUUCCUGUGAAAAAUACCACAGCCCAACAGCCACUGGAGAACAGUGUUCUUCUGGAAGCUUCCUCUGGGCAGGAGGAGUCAAAGAUCCUGGUCCUCAGGGACACUUGAGAUGGGUGUGCCCAAAGCUGUGCAGGAUGGUUUGGUUUGUUUUGUUUUUCUUUGCCUCAGGAAGAAUGUGUUCACAAACCUCAGGACAAAUCGUUUAAAAAAGUGUCCUGACAGUUGUCAUGCUUCAUCACUUGAUUUAGAGGCAAUAGGACAGCCUUAUUUUCUUCUAAUCUCUGGUGGUUGAGGAGUCUGGUUGGCCUGGCAGAAGGCUGAGAUUGGCUGAGGGAGUCAUGAGCGAGCAGGGGCCUCUGGUGCCUGAAGCGCCCCUCAGGAAGAGCGGGUCUCACCGGAAGGCCACACUCAUCUCCUUCCUGGUUACCCAGUGUGGGGAUUUGCUACUUUGCUGAGUGUGUUUUGUCUACAUUCAUGGUGCUCCAGAACUGUGUCUGUGUUUCUCACAUUCUCUUUCGUGUCUGCCAGAGCAACAUUCUCAGCAAACCAUCUGAAUGCAACUCCUGUGAUCACAAAAGUCAAUCACUGAUGGAAAUGAAGACCACGACCCUGAUUCCUCAGGCACAGGUUUUCAUCUGUCACUAUGUGCUAAAAGCAAACCAGCAAGUGAGGGUGUCACUGUCAACUGCUCCUUGUCGUGAGAUUCCCACCUUUCCCUCAAGACAUCUCAGAUAUCAUAUGUAACCUUGACCCUGUGUCCCACAGCAACAGCGGUCAUUGAGUGUAAAGCCUUUUCCUUGAGGAUUGUGGUAGACAGAAUGCCCCCCAAAGGUGACUAUGCUUGAAUCCAUGGAAACUGAACAUGUCACCUUCUAUGGCAAAAGGGACUUUGCAGACGUGAUUAAGGUUAAAGACCUUAAAUUAGAGGGAGUACCCUGGACUAUCCAGGUGUCUAAUCUAAUCCCAUGAGACUUCAAAUGCAGAGAGCUUUCUCUGGCUGGAGUCAAAGAGAUGUGACAAAAGAGGUCGUCGGAGAGAUUGGAAGUGUGAGAAAGACCCGACCUACUGUUUCUGGGGAGCCCACCUGGAAAGCACGAGAAGGGACACAGGCAACCUUUGGGAACAAAGACUGCCAGCCACAAGGAAAAGACAGCAGUCCUCUAGCCACAAGAAACCGAAUUCAGCCAGCAACCUGGACAAGCUAGAAGAGCAUUCUUCCCCAGAACCUUUAGGAGGAAGUGAGGCCUUGCAGAUACCCUGAUUUUGGCUUUUGAGACACUAAACAGAGGAUCCAACUGAGUUCAACUGGCCCAGAAACUGAGAUAUGUUUGGACUGUUUUAAGUUGCUACGUUUGUGGUAAUUUAUUUUGGUGGCAACUGAAAAUGAAUGUAAUUGUAUAUUAGAAAAAUUGAAGGUAGAAGCUCUAAUACUUUCUCCCCACACCCCAGUGGUUCAUCAUGUGCAGCACUCAGGGUGUGGAAAUUCCAUUUUGAAGACACCGUCUUCCAGGAUUCUAACCCCCACCUGGGAAAGGUCCUGGAGAGAACUUCUAGCAUGUAUUUCUGAGCCAUUCACAUUUAACCCAGAGAGAGAAGGUGUCCUGCCCAAACGCAAAGCAGCAUGGCGGUAGUUCUGGACAUAACCUUAACAAUUGCCAGGAACUCUCUGGAUGUCCAUCCAUCAGCCCUAUCUAGUCUUUUUGUCUGCAUGGCAUUGUGGGGGAUGUGGCGAUGAGGGCCAGGAUCGCAGAAGUCAGAGUACCCGUGGCUGGAGCUUCCAUUUUAAAUGAAGUGUUCUUGCUUAUGGCUUGAUGGUAUCCUUUCAGAUUUUGCAUCUGGCUGUACUCCAGAUGUUUAUAUAGAAACUUCACAGUAGACAUGAUGGUGGCGUAGGUUUGCAGGAAGGAUCCUUUCCUACUUACAGAGUGACCCAAUGUGGCCGAUCCCUUCAAUAUUUACAACAGCUGGGUGAGUGGAGGCAUGAUCAACUCCAUUUACCCGUCAAAUAAAUGAAAUUUCAGAGCGGUUACACAAUCUGCUUGAGGUAACAAGGCCAGCAAGCCACAGAGCCAACAUACCCCUGGUGCCUGGCUCCACAGGAGUCUGGGAAGAGGGAGAGGAAGAUGGGGACAGGAUGUAUCACCAGGAUGCUAGGGGAAGAGAGAAUAUUGACGUGUGGGGCAGCCUGCAUCCCCAAAUCAGGAGCACUGGGUGCUGCUGUGUUACAGUGAGUGUAGGAGCAUGCCGUUCUGGGCUUCACUCUGCCCAAAUAUGUCUUGCUCAUUUUCACCGCCAUAUGGCUGCUCGUCCCGGUCUGUUUGAGGUUCCUUCCUGUUCCCUCUCUGCCUCUAAGUCCUUCAAAAAGCCAACUGGAAGUGCCUCUUCCAGGCUUUCCUUAGCCUUUCUUUAUUCCCUUGAACUUCUAUUAUGUUAAUUGUUCAAAAGAUUAGUUCUGACACUUACCCUAUGCUGCUUUGUAUUACUAUUGGAAAACAACAGUAGCUCUCUCAACCCAUUGGGUGGAUGGUACAUGCCAUGCUUUAUACAUUCCCGUGGCCCUGCUGUACCUGGCACACACAAAAGGGGAUUAAUAAAUAUGCAUAUGUUGAAUGAAA